rnacentral:tRNA from 1 species
UGUAGCUCAGUGGUAGAGCAUAUGCUUAACAUGUACAAGGCCCUGGGUUCGAUUCCCAGCA